UUUUCUCUUUCUUUUGUUCCUGGACUUUUUUGACUUCAAGACAGUACUUAAUAAUUUAAUAAUGUAUAGUACCACUCUCUCUCCAUCUUGUAGGUGAUUUUUUUAGAAAUUGUUCAAAAGAAGGUGCUCAUUGAAGUUGUUGCCAUUAGUUACGAUAAGCCACGUCCACUUAAAACAUACAAGCUGCAAGGGAGCUGAUUUUAGCAGGUGUUGCAUUGAAGCUAAAAUAAAAAUUAAAUCUUCUGUUGAUAGUGUCAGUGCCUAUAUUGAGUCAAAUUUUACAUCAGUGUCAAUCGGGUACAAAAUAAGUUUUUAGUAAAAAUAUAAUUUUAAAUUUUCUAAGUAUUCAGGAGGUUGAUUUGACCUUUGUGUGUUCCGGUGACCUUUCAAACUGAAGCCCAUAUCAUGACCCACAGGAUUGAAUUGAUCAUACACCUCUCUACCUCUCGGACUUUCUGCAUCACAAGAUAGUCAGCAUAAAGGGAAAAUCCAACUUCAUGGGUUUUAUUUUCGUCCUUCUGAUCUGUAAGAAUUGAGCCACACCCAACAACCCCACCCAUAACACCCACGUGUACAUGUGUUAGUGCUAACCCGACGAAGAUGAACCCCGGAUUGAGCUCUCCCACAGCAAAUUUUGUGGGUUUAAUUUUCGUUUUUGGAGCUUGGAGAACGAAAGUUUGACCGAACAGAAGAAACCCGCUAUACGUUAAAGCUAUGGGAUGAGAUGGAGUGUUAUUAGGCUCACCAAUCCAUGCACUAAUUACAGUACAUACAGCUCUCUCAAAGGAUAGUAAUUGCUGGUUAGUUGAUUAGAGGCUAGUGGAAAGUGAAUCAUGUUUGAAGAUUAAAGAAGCGGCUGGCACUGAGCAUGUUUGGACUGCUGACGAUUUAAAGCUAACAAAUACAAAAAGUUUUUAUUUUGGCAAUGAAUUUUGUAUAAUUACAUGUAUUAUUAUGUUUACAAUAAUAAAACUAUUAU